GACGAACGCUGGCGGCGUGCUUAACACAUGCAAGUCGAACGAAGUGGCGCACGGGUGAGUAACGCGUAAUAAACCUGCCCUUCAGAGGGGUACAACAGUGGGAAACGACUGCUAAUACAGCAUACUGAAGGAGGGGAUUGCGUCGGAUUAGCUCGUUGGAGGGGUAACGGCCCACCAAGGCGAUGAUCGGUAGCCGGUCUGAGAGGAUGGACGGCCACAUUGGGACUGGGACACGGGCCAGACUCCUACGGGAGGCAGCAGUGGGGAAUCUUCCGCAAUGGACGAAAGUCUGACGGGGCAACGCCGCGUGAGUGAUGACGGCCUUCGGGUUGUAAAGCUCUGUUAAUCGGGACGCGGUACCGGAAUAGAAAGCCACGGCUAACUACGUGCCAGCAGCCGCGGUAAUUC
rnacentral:rRNA from 1 species